rnacentral:rRNA from 2 species
UGGGGAAUCUUGGGCAAUGGGGGAAACCCUGACCCAGCGACGCCGCGUGAGGGAAGAAGGUCUUCGGAUUGUAAACCUCUAUGACAGGGGAAGAAAGAAAUGACGGUACCCUGAGAUGAAGCCCCGGCUAACUACGUGCCAGCAGCCGCGGUAAUACGUAGGGGGCGAGCGUUGUCCGGAAUUACUGGGCGUAAAGGGCGCGUAGGCGGUUAUUCAAGUCUGUUGUGAAAUACCCCGGCUCAACCGGGGAAGUGCAAUGGAAACUGGGUGACUUGAGUACGGUAGAGGCAAGCGGAAUUCCCAGUGUAGCGGUGAAAUGCACAGAGAUUGGGAGGAACACCAGUGGCGAAGGCGGCUUGCUGGGCCGAAACUGACGCUGAGGCGCGAAAGCGUGGGGAGCAAACAGG